ACCUUAAAACCGCUCUCGGAAAUGUCCCCAAAUCUUAGAGUCAUCGCAACUCCAAAUGCCAAGCCUUUGCUGCAUCCUCUUUUCUGAAAUGUCACAAAUCUAGAACCUGGUCAGGAGUCUGAAGUUGAACCAAGCAAUGGUUCCAAAGUCAGAAUUCAAGCUACUCCUGGGCCAGUUCUCGGUCCUCCAUGGUAACGACCUGAGAAUGGCGCAAGGAUGAUGAAGAACCAAAUAGGAUGGAUUUCUUCAAGGCAACUCAUUAUUCAAAUGACAAAGGAUGGACAACAUCUGAGGCACAAGCAAAAUAUGAGAAAAUGGUGGAGUUGCAAUCAACUCCAGCUGAAGAA